UUCAAACAAAGAUUAUGUUAUUUUUUGAACUUUACUCCAACAUAACUGAAAUUAAGUCAAACCACACAAUUUAUACUCCACCGGUUACCGCUUGAGGCGGUAACCCUGAUAGCCGACCUCCGAUUCUAUUCAUUCAAGCCACUCCGUUCCGCUCCUCGUCUCUCUCGCAUUUUUUCUCUCGCGCACGCCAACCAAUUAAAUAAUUUCUCUCUGCAAUCUGCGUUCGUGUCGAUCUAUUCGUCGAUAUUGAGAAGAUGGCUUCAAACCGGAUCCGGAUCUUGAAGUACCGUGCUGGGGCUUCGAAGCAGUGGCGGAUCUUGAAGGAGCACAAGGAUCUCCAGAAUCUCCAGAAGGAUCGAUCCUCUUACCUCUUGCACCGCUGAAACAACCAUACAGCAGGAUCUUGUUCACAUCCUGAACUUUUCCCCAGAUUGUGCAUGCUAUGUGGGGAAAUCUUUCCAGAGGCAUAUGGUACGCCACCUGAAUAUAUGCCACUCAGCUGGAAAUAAUUCCAACCGAAGAUGCUCUUUGGUUUUGGCCUUGACCGAAGAAAUAUGCAAGUGAGAGCAUAAAGUAUACCAGAAAAAAAUGCCGUAGAGGACCAAUUUCUUCACUUGUGGUUCAACUACAUGAGCUUGUCGAUCCACAGGAUCAGAUAUCAAAUCUUGCAAUGGUCUAGUCUUGACCUUUUUCCUUCCUCCUUUGUGAUCGGAUUGUUCAUCUUGGAAGUCCAAGGUCAUCUUGCCUUCCUUUUGGAUUCUAUGCUGUGUAUAGCUUCCAGGUCAGACAUCCGAUUAGCCUAUUGGGCCAGUAAUAAAGCAAGUACAUACAUUUCCACAUUUUAAGGAGCUAAAGUUCAAGAUCGUUUGAACGCACAAAGGGAUCAAUCAAUCAAUCAUGUCUAGCGAGGAAUGUAGGAGGAGCUCUAGGAUGUCUAAACUGGAAGCUAGAAAUGCACAGCAUAGAAGCCAAAAGGAAGGCAAGAUGACCUUAGACUUCCAAGAUGAACAAUCCAAUCACAAAGGAGGUAGAAAGAAGGGCAAGACCAGACCAUUGUAAGAUCUGAUAUCUAAUCCAUUGGAUCAACAAGCUUAUGUGGUUGAACCACAAGCGAAGAAACUGGUACUCUACGGCAUUAUUUUCUAGUACACUUUAUGCUCUCACUCGCAUACUUAGUAUAGUUUGCAUGCCUGUACUUUUCUGUCUCGCCAUUCUCUGUCGAUUGUUAUACUACAUUUCUUUCCUGGAGUGCUUCUCAAAUAAAAAGUAUGACUUUGCUAAA